rnacentral:rRNA from 1 species
UACGUAGGUGGCAAGCGUUGUCCGGAUUUACUGGGCGUAAAGGGCUUGUAGGCGGUUUGUUAAGUCUGGUGUGAAAUCUCCCGGCUCAACCGGGAGGGGUCAUCGGAUACUGGCAGACUAGAGACGGGUAGAGGAAAGCAGAAUUCCCGGUGUAGCGGUGAAAUGCGUAGAUAUCGGGAGGAAUACCAGUGGCGAAGGCGGCUUUCUGGGCCUGUUCUGACGCUGAGGAGCGAAAGCGUGGGGAGCAAACCGG